UUGAACGCUGGCGGCAUGCCUUACACAUGCAAGUCGAACGGCAGCACGGACUUCGGUCUGGUGGCGAGUGGCGAACGGGUGAGUAAUGCAUCGGAACGUGCCAUUGAGUGGGGGAUAACGUAGCGAAAGUUGCGCUAAUACCGCAGUAUUCUGUGAGCAGGAAAGCAGGGGACCGCAAGGCCUUGCGCUCUUUGAGCGGCCGAUGUCAGAUUAGCUAGUUGGUGAGGUAAAGGCUUACCAAGGCGACGAUCUGUAGCGGGUCUGAGAGGAUGAUCCGCCACACUGGAACUGAGACACGGUCUAGACUCCUACGGGAGGCAGCAGUGGGGAAUUUGGACAAUGGGGGCAACCCUGAUCCAGCCAUGCCGCGUGAGUGAAGAAGGCCUUCGGGUUGUAAAGCUCUUUCGGCCGGGAAGAAAUCGCAUGGGCCAAUACCCUGUGUGGAUGACGGUACCGGAAUAAGAAGCACCGGCUAACUACGUG
rnacentral:rRNA from 1 species